rnacentral:rRNA from 1 species
UCCGUUUGAUCCUGACGGACCUGACUGCUAUCAGAUUGAUACUAAGCCAUGUUAGUUAUUGUAGUAAUACAAGGCAGACGGCUCAGUAACACGUAGUCAACCUAACUUAUGGACGGGGAUAACCUCGGGAAACUGAGAAUAAUACCCGAUAGGUCAUGAUGCCUGGAAUGGUUUAUGACUCAAAUAAUUUAUUGCCGUAGGAUGGGACUGCGAGCUAUCAGCUUGUUGGUGAGGUAAUGGCCCACCAAGGCUAUUACAGCUACGGGCUCUGAGAGGAGUAGCCCGGAGAUGGGUACUGAGACAAGGACCCAGGCCCUAUGGGGCGCAGCAGGCGAGAAAACUUUGCAAUGCGCGAAAGCUCGACAAGGUUAAUCUGAGUGGUUCCUGCUAAAGGAACCUUUUGUUAGUCGUAGAACCACUGAUGAAUAAGGGGUGGGCAAGUUCUGGUGUCAGCCGCCGCGGUAAAACCAGCACCUCAAGUGGUCAGGAUGAUUAUUGGGCCUAAAGCAUCCGUAGCCUGUUCUGUAAGUUUUCGGUUAAAUCCAUAAGCUCAACUUAUGGGCUGCCGAAAAUACUGCAGAACUAGGGAGUGGGAGAGGUAGACGGUACUCGGUAGGAAGGGGUAAAAUCCUUUGAUCUAUUGAUGACCACCUGUGGCGAAGGCGGUCUACCAGAACACGUUCGACGGUGAGGGAUGAAAGCUGGGGGAGCAAACCGGAUUAGAUACCCGGGUAGUCCCAGCUGUAAACGAUGCAAACUCGAUGAUGCGUUGGCUUGUUGCUAGCGCAGUGUCGCAGGGAAGCCGUUAAGUUUGCCGCCUGGGAAGUACGUACGCAAGUAUGAAACUUAAAGGAAUUGGCGGGGGAGCACCACAAGGGGUGAAGCCUGCGGUUCAAUUGGAGUCAACGCCUGAAACCUUACCCGGAGAGACAGCAGAAUGAAGGUCAAGCUGAAGACUUUACCAGACAAGCUGAGAGGUGGUGCAUGGCCGUCGCCAGCUCGUGCCGUGAGAUGUCCUGUUAAGUCAGGUAACGAGCG